rnacentral:rRNA from 1 species
CAGUCAUACCAACGGGAAAUCAACCUUUUGAGUUUGGUCUCGUGGGUUUUGAAGAGUUUCAAAGCCUUCGGAUUCGCGGGAUUGGGAUCUCUUGGUGUACUUUUUCGUACGGUUAGUCAACAUCGGUUUUGAAUGUCAUAAAAUGACUGGAGGAAUGUAGCUUCGAUCUCGUAUUGAAAGUGUUAUAGCCUUUGGUAGAUGUGAUGUUUGAGACCGAGGAUUGCAACGGAUACCCUUCAGGGCUAUUCGUCUGAUCUCUGAUACGUUGCCUUGAUGUUGAAAGCUUGCUUAUGAUGUUAGGGUAUUACGGUCAAAAGGUUAGAACGGAUUAGA